rnacentral:rRNA from 1 species
CAGCCGCCGCGGGAAUACGGAGGGGGCUAGCGUUGUUCGGAAUUACUGGGCGUAAAGCGCACGUAGGCGGCUUUGUAAGUUAGAGGUGAAAGCCCGGAGCUCAACUCCGGAAUUGCCUUUAAGACUGCAGAGCUAGCAGGUGAGAGAGGUGAGUGGAAUUCCGAGUGUAGAGGUGAAAUUCGUAGAUAUUCGGAAGAACACCAGUGGCGAAGGCGGCUCACUGGCUCAUACUGGACGCUGAGGUGCGAAAGCGUGGGGAGCAAACAGGAUUAGAUACCCCCGUAGUCCCUGUCUCUUAUAA